AAAAACUUCACCUGACCUGCUUUCUUGAGAUGUGGAUUUGAAAGUCUGUUUUGAAAAUGGGACAGAAGAACAUGUACAGAGAGACAGCUGUCAGUGAGGAACAAAAUGCCGUUACUCUGCAGUCUCAGGAGUAGUUUCUGCAGCAGGACGUGCAAGGAGAGCUAUAGCUAUUGGAAGUAUAGGCAAGAAGUGACCAUUGAUCUUGGCAGUCCCUAGAUCAAGGGAUGAUGAGCUGUUCCAUAUAUUCUCUGCAGCUGGGAAUUCAGAACUUCAUUUGUACUUUCCAGAAAGUCUCACUCAUGCGGGCUGUACUUAGGAGUGCUCUCAGGAACUACACAGGGCUUUGUCAUAGGGCAGCUAUCCACCCUGUAUCUACACAUGGUGCUGAGUUCACUGGUGGGCACGUGGCUGAGGGAACACCACCUGCACCUGGCUCCCUGCUGGCACGCACCCUGGGCACCACAGAGGUUCCUCAGAGGUACCCGCUGUUCUGCUUGGUCUGUACCAACCUGUUUCCAUCUCUACCAGACUCUUUCCACUGUUGCCAAGCAUGGGGCACCUUUACAGAGGCCAGGAGAGGAGCAACCUCUGCUCACCAGGGAUGCAAGUCAGGAGCAGAGGUGAGCUAUGGCCGCACUGAAACAGCAUGUGAAGCGGUUCCCUGGCAGCCAUGGUUUUCACUCUACAGUGAAACAACCAGAGCAAUUCCUGAUAUUUAAUUUUGAACUCAUGUGAUUUUGAAUGAUAUUGAAGGAAACCAUGCAAUAGCUUUUAAUGAUUGCAGUAUAAUUUCUUCCUGUUAGUUUUCAUUUUCCAGUAUGGUGCAAGCUUUAUGUUGUUAUUCAUUUUAUGUACUCUUUAUCAUACUUGUCAGUAAAUCUCCAGCAGACAGAAAGCAGUGGGGUGUGUUUGCAGUACUUCAGCUACCAGGGCUUGGCAAAAUAGCAGUGUAAAAAUCAUUUGCAUUAGAGCUAAUAAAGACAGCUGGAAUGGACCCCAAAAUAUGUUCAAUAAACCAAUAAGACUGACUGCUGAUUAUACUCCUACUUCAGUAAAAGUAACUGGUUUUCAUUCAGUGUUUAGAGUACUGUAAUUGUGCAGUGUAGUAUUUUACCCGCAAUUUAAAUCUAAUAUAACGGUCAAUGCCUGCCUUUAAAUGCUGGCAGUUUGCUAACAACUUCCAGGCUCAUGCCUCUUGCAUUUUAUUUCCUCUUUAUAAGGGCAGGGUAAAUUUCUCACCAUGUAGUUUACUGUACGUAACUCCUAGUUAAUGUUGACUCUUUUCUUGUGACCAUUAUAGACAUCUUUCUGGGGAUUAAAGGUGUUUAUUUUGUUGUCCUGUUUUGUUCCCCUCUCUUCCACCACUGCCCACGUUCCAGAUUUUCCAGAAAUCUUCUGGAGUUGUUGACAGAUCAUGCUUGGGAAAAGGAAUUACAUGAAUUAAUCAGCUAAUAGAAUUAUUUAAAAAUCUAGAUGCUAAAAUGAUGCAGUAUGUUGCCUCUCCAUUUUCCCCUAGAAAGUUUGGCUUCCCUGCUCCACGGUAAUGAUUUAUUUAAAAUAGAAAUGUCUGACCUUGAGACAAUAAUAUCCUGCCAAACCUGCAUGUCUUCAAAAUGUGCGUUCACUCUGAAACAUGCAUAUAUUGGCAUUGCAUAAAAGAAUGUGCCUGCUUUUCCUUUUGCUUUAUGUAAGCCAGCAGUUUUUAUAAAAAGCUUAACUGGUAGACAUUCUUAAUGGUAUUGAUAAAUAAAUAACAUCUCUUUCCUGCAAUGCUUGACAAUAGAAGGAUUCUGCCCGGGAUUAUUAUAGAUAAAAAUAACAAGCAGGGUUUUCUUGUACCCUGUGCCACACAUGAAACAACAAAUCGGUCCAUACCAAGUUCAUUCAGCCAUAUUUCACAUCUUCUAGAACUGGAAUUGUGUAGCCUACAAAACAAUUUAUAUUUUAUCUGUACCAUCUAAUUAAUUAAAUGGCCCCGGAGUACCAGACUCACAAAUCUCGUUAAUAGCUGAAUACUGAAAUAAAGGCUGUUCACCCCUACUAGAAUAAUAUUUGCAUAUCUCCACCUGCGAUGGGUAAUAAGUACCUGCCACAAAUCAGAAUUAUGAAUUUUGUACGCCUAACAAAACCGCAGGGGAAAUUAUACCUCAGACAUUCCAUAAUAAUUGCAGCUAAGCUGUUUAGUGCCAUCCACUUAUUCUGCCUGAAGUGUUUAAAGCAGCAACAGUUGUAAAUGAAUUCAGGCACACAUUCAAGAGAAAAUGUUUUAAAAAGUUUUUCUGUCUUGCCAUAUGUAAUUAUCUUUAUAGAAAUGUUCAGUUACAAGUUAUAACAUGCUCACAUUUAAAAUUGCAAAUUAAAAAGUUCUUCUG
ensembl:lncRNA